rnacentral:rRNA from 1 species
UACGUAGGGUCCGAGCGUUGUCCGGAAUUACUGGGCGUAAAGAGCUCGUAGGUGGUUUGUCGCGUUGUUCGUGAAAACUCACAGCUUAACUGUGGGCGUGCGGGCGAUACGGGCAGACUUGAGUACUGCAGGGGAGACUGGAAUUCCUGGUGUAGCGGUGGAAUGCGCAGAUAUCAGGAGGAACACCGGUGGCGAAGGCAGGUCUCUGGGCCACUACUGACGCUGAGAAGCGAAAGCAUGGGGAGCGAACAGG